rnacentral:antisense_RNA from 1 species
UAAAUUGAGGCAUCUUGCAGGCGGGGAUGUGUAUCUCCUGUCCCGUUUGGGGGUUUCGUCCUUUUCGUGCGGCACGGUCAGUGACGGAAAAUGUACCAAAUCCGAUCAGCUGCAGUGCAUCUCCUGUUGCAAGAGAUUCCUGAGUUCG